rnacentral:rRNA from 1 species
UACGUAGGGUGCAAGCGUUGUCCGGAAUUAUUGGGCGUAAAGCGCGUGUAGGCGGCCAGGAAGGUCCGCUGUGAAAACUCGAGGCUCAACCUCGAGAUGUCGGCGGAAACCCUCUGGCUAGAGUCCGGAAGAGGAGAGUGGAAUUCCCGGUGUAGCGGUGAAAUGCGCAGAUAUCGGGAAGAACACCCGUGGCGAAGGCGGCUCUCUGGGACGGUACUGACGCUGAGACGCGAAAGCGUGGGGAGCGAACAGG